rnacentral:rRNA from 1 species
GAUGAACGCUGGCGGCGUGCCUAAUACAUGCAAGUCGAGCGGACGGACGCGGAGCUUGCUUUUCUGAUGUUAGCGGCGGACGGGAGUGUCACACGUGGAUAACCUACCUAUAAGACUGGGAUCACUUCGGGAAACCGGAGAUAAUACCGGAGAAUAUUUUGAACCGCAUGGGUCAAAGUGAAAGACGGUCGUGCUGUCACUUAUAGAUGGCUCCGCGCUGCGUUAGCUAGUUGGUAAGGUAACGACUUACCAAGGCAACGAGGCAUAGCCGACCUGAUAGGGGGAUCGGCCACCCGGGAGCGUAGACACGGACCAUACGCCUACGAGACGCAGCAGUAGGGAACCUUCCGCAAUGGUCGAAAGCCUUACGGAGUGGCGCCGCGUGUGUGAUGAAGGUCUUCGGAGCGUAAAACUCGGUUAUUAGGGAAGAACAUAUGUGUAAGGAACUGUGGACUGCUUGACGGUACCGAAUCAGAAAGCCACGGCUAACUACGUG